UCGCCCUCCGCCGGCUUCCCCUCGCCGCCCUAGCCGCCGAAGCAGCCCCGAUCAGCCCCGUCCAGCAAACCCGCGAGUGGGUUUCCAGCUGGUUCAAGGCCGUUUUGGGCCGUUUCCGGGCCUCGAAUCCGUGAGUCGCUUUGGGAACAAUCGUUCCUCGCGUCGCCGCCGUCGGAUUGAUCCGAUUUGGUGAGUAAUCUCACUAAUCUCAGAUUAGUUGGCUAAUUAUGCUUUAAGGUUGGUUUAGUUUUAAUUAAUUAUGUUUAGGUUGUUAGAUUAGAAUAAAUUAGCAAUUAUUAGUCAAUUUUUAUGCGAUUUAAAUAAAUUGAUUGUGCAAUUAACAAGUAGACGUGGUCUACUAUUUAUUGGAAGCAUCUUGGGAAUUUUCCGACCCCUAAUUGGGCUUCAAUUUGGCGAUCCGGGCCUAAGUGGGAUUAUUGGCAUUUAAAUAUUAUUUUUCGAAAUUAAAUUAAUUAUUUAAUUAUUUUCCGAAAAUUCAACUGAGAUGGCCAGGAACCGGAAAAUUAUGCUGAUGACGGUGGUGGAGUUCGUUUGUUUAAUCGGGCUUUAUUUUGAACUAAAUUAGAUUUUUAAUGUUAAUUAUUUAAUUUUCGAAAUUAAUUAAUUAUUUAUUUAUUUUCCAAAAAUUCAACUGGGAUGGCCCGUGACCGGAAAUUUAUGCUGAUGAUCGUGGUGAAGUCCGUUUAUUUAAUUGGACGUUAUUUUGAGCUAAAUGGAAUUUUUAAUAUUUAUAAAUUAAUUUUUUUCGGAAAUUGAAAUUGAGAUGGCCGACGACCGAAAUCUCGUGCCGAUUGUCGUGGCGCAGUCUGUUUAUUUAUUUGAGCUUUGAAUUGUGCCAAAUUGAAUUGAAUGUGGAAUUUAGGAUAUGUUCCUAAAUCAUUGUGGUUAAUUAUUUCAUUGAGAAAUCAUUGAAUUUCUAAAGUGGUCGAGUGGGACCGUAAAGCCAUUGAAUAUCGAAAGUGGUCGAGUGGGACCGUAAAGCCAUUGAAUAUCGAAAGUGGUCGAGUGGGACCGUAAAGCCAUUGAAUUUCUAAAGUGGUCGAGUGGGACCGUAAAGCCAUUGAAUAUCGAAAGUGGUCGAGUGGGACCGUAAAGCCAUUGAAUAUCGAAAGUGGUCGAGUGGGACCGUAAAGCCAUUAAAUAUUGAAUGUUGCUGAGUGGGACUCUGAAUAGCAAUAGCUUGAAUGACCGGGAAAUGGUCAGGUUGACAUGUAAUCGACGAGGUCGAUUGAUCAUUGUUUUGAUUUGAUGUUGUGAAUUGAUUGACUGAAUGGGAACGACUGUGAGUGGUCUUGUUGGCUUGUAAUCGACUAGGUCGAUUUGAUCGAUGCUUUGAUCGGUGAUACGAUUGCUUGAGUGCCUAUUGUGAAUUGUAAUGACUUGCAGGUGGGAUCUGAUGCUAAGGUAUGUCUUCUGACCUAUGCGUGUUUAGGCAGCCUUUAGUAUAAUGGUUUACUAAUUGGGCUUAGUGGGGUAGAACUCGCUGAGACGUAGUCUCAUCCCAGUUUGGGGAAAACCAUUUCAGGACCCCGCUAAGGAGCUGAGGAGGAAGAGUUGGAGAAGGAUUUUUG
rnacentral:lncRNA from 1 species